rnacentral:SRP_RNA from 1 species
GUGCUAGACGGGGAGGUAGCGGUGCCCUGUAACCUGCAAUCCGCUAUAGCAGGGUUGAAUUCCUCAUGGAGGCUUGUUGCUUGUAGGGCUGGCCUAGAUAAGUGGUGAUGAGAAUUGGGUCCUACGCAAUGAAAACUCAUGAACUCCGUCAGAUCCGGAAGGAAGCAGCGGUAAG